rnacentral:lncRNA from 1 species
GUUGUUCACAGUCCUCACAUGUCUUUGCCAAUAAUAUAUCAAGUACAGGUACAGUGGUGCACAUGGAACUUGGUGAAUUUAAUCUGAACAUGUCAGAUGAGUAUCGGGAAUGCUUUAAAGAGAGCCUCUUUGGGGUCGAAACAAACAUGGGUUCACUUAUUUAUAUAGCAAAAAUCAGUCUUAACUGGGGCAAGAAAAAAGAGAGCCUCUUUGGGGUUGAAACAAACAUGGGUUCACUUACUUAUAUAGCAAAAAUCAGUCUUGACUGGGGCAAGAAAGAUAUGGAUUCACCUGAAGAUAGUCUCAAGAAUAAAACAGUUCUCUCUGU